AUAACUGGAUGUACCAGUAUAUGAGGGGCACAGGCAUGCCAAAUGCAGCCACACACUUUCAAUGUGAUGCUGCUCUGCACAACCCUGAAAUACCACAAGCUGGUAUGUCUUAAACUUUUGCUUAUUUAUUUUUUCUUCAAAAAUGUUCCAACAAAAAAUAUAGCUAUUGAUCGUGAUUUUCUGCAGGGAAAAAAAAAACGGACCCAUUUAAGGUGUGGAAAUAUAAGAUUGGACCAGUUAGGGAACUAAUGGUAAAAUAGGCCCAACCGCUGAUUUCCGUGUCUUAUGGACUAGUUUACCCUUCGACUGAUGCAAAGACUUGUUUGCAUAUCAUAAACAUAUAAACAUACUUAUUUAUAUCAGUCACAAUACAAAUAUAAAAUGCAAAGACUUGUUUGCAUACUUACAAACAACAACAUAAACCAUAAACAUUAAAUGCAAAGAAUUGUUUGCAUACUCGAAACGACAACAAGAUAAACUAGAAAAUGUAAAGACUUGUUUGCAUUAGUCACAACACAUAAAGAUUAAAUGCAAAAACUUGUUUGCAUACUCGAAACAAUGACAUACCAUAAAAAUGCAAACAUUUGUUUGCAUAAACCAGAAGGGUAUUAUCGGUAGUGAAAGAGCCGUUUUUACAAUAUCAACGUUAAAUGGGUCUUUUCUUAUUUUACAAAUGCUUAAUGAGGGCCAAUAUUAUAAACCGGGCCUUAGUUGGGCCAAUUGUGUUUUAUAGGUGCUUAAUGAGGGCCUAGAACCACUUCCGUGGAUUUUCUGUGAAACAACAUGAUUCAACCUGAACAUACUACAACCGGGGAUACAGGAUCCUGACCUGGACCAUGCACAUAGAGAGCAUCCCCAUGUGGGCAUGCCCUUUCAGCACAGACUUUACCCUGAGAACAUAAAUCAGCAACAACGUGCGGUGGUACAGCAACAUCAGAAGCAGAAUAUACUAUAUUUUUGAGUCAUAGUAUAAACGAAAUUUUUAUUUACACAUUGUUGAAAAGGACUUACUAGCUAUUAUAUGCUAAAUAGGCACCCCCAACAUAAAAACAUAAAAGUUUUACAUGUCAUGAAACUAUUAUCAACAACAGCUUACAAACUGGAUAUCAUAUAUCCUUA
rnacentral:lncRNA from 1 species